rfam:Nocardia asteroides NBRC 15531 DNA, contig: NCAST37.
GCCCUCGUAGCUCAGGGGAUAGAGCGUCUGCCUCCGGAGCAGAAGGCCGCAGGUUCGAAUCCUGCCGAGGGCA